rnacentral:rRNA from 1 species
GCGUGGGCACUCUAAGGAGACUGCCGGUGACAAACCGGAGGAAGGUGGGGAUGACGUCAAGUCAUCAUGGCCCUUACGGCCUGGGCUACACACGUGCUACAAUGGUCGGUACAAAGGGUUGCCAAGCCGCGAGGUGGAGCUAAUCCCAUAAAACCGAUCGUAGUCCGGAUCGCAGUCUGCAACUCGACUGCGUGAAGUCGGAAUCGCUAGUAAUCGUGAAUCAGAAUGUCACGGUGAAUACGUUCCCGGGCCUU